GCCCUUUUAGCUCAGUGGUAGAGCGCGGCACUCGUAAGGAAGCAUUCGCUUGAAAUGCCGAGGUCUACGGUUCAAUCCCGUAAGGGGGCA